rnacentral:rRNA from 1 species
AAACCCGGUCUAAUACUCCAUAGUAUUAUUGAGAGGCAUCUCUUAAUAAUUAAAGCUUCGGUGGUAUAGGAUUGGCUCGCGUGACAUUAGCCAGAUGGUGAGGUAACGGCUCACCAUAGCAACGAUGUCUAGGGGUUUUGAGAGGAAGGCCCCCCACACUGGGACUGAGACACGGCCCAGACUCCUACGGGAGGCAGCAGUGAGGAAUAUUGGACAAUGGAUGGAAAUCUGAUCCAGUCAUGCCGCGUGCAGGAAGACUGCCUUAUGGGUUGUAAACUGCUUUUAUACGGGAGCAAUAAGGGUUACGUGUAACCUGAUGAGAGUACUGUAUGAAUAAGGAUCGGCU